rnacentral:rRNA from 1 species
CCUACGGUGGGCAGCAGUGGGGAAUAUUGCACAAUUGGGGAAACCCUGAUGCAGCGACGCCGCGUGAGUGAAGAAGUAUCUCGGUAUGUCAAGCUCUAUCAGCAGGGAAGAAAAUGACGUUACCUGACUAAGAAGCCCCGGCUAACUACGUGCCAGCAGCCGCGGUAAUACGUAGGGGGCAAGCGUGAUCCGGAUUUACUGGGUGUAAAGGGAGCGUAGACGGCGCUGUAAGUCCGGAGUGAAAGCCCAUGGCUUAACCAUGGUACUGCUCUGGAUACGGUGGAGCGUGAGUGCGGGAGGGGCAGGCGGAAUUCGUAGUGUAGCGGUGAAAUGCGUAGAUAGUAGGAGG